rnacentral:rRNA from 1 species
CUUAGAAUGCAGUCGAACGGAUUAAAGUUGUAGCAAUACCGCUUUGGUCAGUGGCGCACGGGUGCGUAACACGUGAGUAACAUGCCCUGUAGUGGGGAAUAGCCCGCCGAAAGGCGGAUUAAUACCCCAUGGUACCGCAAGGUUAAAGGUGGCGCAAGCUGCCGCUACGGGAUUGGCUCGCGGCCUAUCAGCUAGUUGGCGAGGUAACGGCUCACCAAGGCGACGACGGGUACCUGGUCUGAGAGGACGAUCAGGCACACUGGAACUGAGACACGGUCCAGACACCUACGGGUGGCAGCAGUCGAGAAUAAUUCACAAUGGGGGAAACCCUGAUGGUGCAACGCCGCGUGGAGGAUGAAGGUCUUCGGAUUGUAAACUCCUGUCAUCCGGGAGUAAGACCUGGGAGUGAAUAGCUCACAGGGUUGAUAGUACCGGAAGAGGAAGGGACGGCUAACUUCGUGCCAGCAGCCGCGGUAAUACGAAGGUCCCAAGCGUUGUUCGGAAUCACUGGGCGUAAAGGGAGCGUAGGCGGCGUGGUAAGUCAGAUGUGAAAUCCCGGGGCUCAACCCCGGAACUGCAUCCGAUACUGCCAUGCUUGAGGGUUGGAGAGGUAGCUGGAAUUCUCGGUGUAGCAGUGAAAUGCGUGGAUAUCGAGAGGAACACUCGUGGCGAAGGCGAGCUACUGGACAACAUCUGACGCUGAGGCUCGAAGGCCAGGGUAGCGAAAGGGAUUAGAUACCCCUGUAGUCCUGGCAGUAAACGGUGUGCGCUUGGUGUGAGGGGAUUCGACCCCCCUUGUGCCGGAGCUAACGCGUUAAGCGCACCGCCUGGGAAGUACGGCCGCAAGGCUAAAACUCAAAGAAAUUGACGGGGACCCGCACAAGCGGUGGAGUAUGUGGCUUAAUUCGAUGCAACGCGAAGAACCUUACCAAGGCUUGACAUGCAUCUCUAAGCGCGUGAAAGCGCGUGACUCUUCGGAGAAUUUGCACAGGUGCUGCAUGGCCGUCGUCAGCUCGUGUCGUGAGAUGUUGGGUUAAGUCCCGCAACGAGCGCAACCCCUGUGAUUAGUUGCCAGCACGUGAAGGUGGGGACUCUAGUCAGACUGCCCAGAUCAACUGGGAGGAAGGUGGGGACGACGUCAGGUCAGUAUGGCCCUUACGCCUUGGGCUGCACACGUACUACAAUGUCCAGUACAAUGAGAACCGAGACCGCGAGGUGGAGGAAAUCUGCAAAACUGGGCCCAGUUCGGAUUGGAGGCUGCAACUCGCCUCCAUGAAGCCGGAAUCGCUAGUAAUGGUAGAUCAGCUACGCUACCGUGAAUACGUUCCCGGGUCUUGUACACACCGCCCGUCACAUCAUGGAAGCCGGUAGCACCCGAAGUAUCGUACGAUCCUAAGUAAGC